CCUGUGCGCGCCGCCCAGGCCCAGCUCUCGCUGCGCUCCUCGGCGCGCUCCCGCUGCUGCGCAGCCCUGGAGCCCUGUCCUCCGCGCCCACCUCUCGCGCGCGCCCGGGCCCCGCCGCCCGCGCUCGAGCCGCUCCGGGGCGUUACACGGGCCGUGAGAGGCCCAGGCUGAGGCCCGGGUGCGGAGAUUCACACCAUCAUUCCGCGGGCGCGCUUGCUGCCACGGGCGGUCCCGCGCCAAAGGGGCGCCCGGCGAGCUGGGCUUGGGCCUGGGGGCGAGUCCCGGAGCACCGCUCCCUCGUGCUGGGGUAACGGCUCCGGCGUUAGGAGCGGGGCGCUCGCUGGUCGCGGGGCUGGGCUGGGAAACCUGUGUGCCCUGCCCCGGCCCGCGCUGCUGUGGCACGGAGCCUGGUGCUGUGUGUGCGCUGGCCGAGCGCUGAGCGGGCCUCGAGAGCCGUUCCCGGGGCUAGGUGCCUGGCUGAGAAAGCCGAGAGGAGGUAAGGCACAGGUGGUUUGUGUACCUCCUCCUCCCCCCAGCUGGCGGUCACCCCGGGCGGGGAAAACCACAGGGCCUUGUCUCCAGCAGCCUGUCACAAGAGAACUACUCAGCUGUGCGGCCUCCCUGGAAAUACACACCUUUGUGGCACUGAAGACAGCGCCUCAGUCUUCAGCGGGGAACAAUAGGCACAAUCCCCCAGUCAGUCAACACCAUUGCUGGGUAUAUUUGUACCCUGAAGACGGGUUGAAUAUAGGACCCUGAGACUGCAGUUCAGGCGAGGGGUGGGUGCUUUUGCUGGAGCUCUUGAAGGCACUGUGGUGACAUAAUGAGGUGCCAGCCUCAGAGGGUGCAGACCUUCAUAUUACGAUCAUCCUUCUUUUUUUCUUGUGUGCUUUAAAAAUGACCUGCAACACUGUUGAAUCUUUCUCGCAGCCUUCGCUUGUUAUUAGCAGUGAAUUGUGAGAGAACUUGUCUGUCCUUCUGGGCAAAUGGGGGAGAGGGAAUCAUGAGACACUGGAACACUAUCAGUACCUGAGUGAUGUGGCCUCCUCCAAAAUGGGUGCAAGAAGCAGGAGGGCAGAUGCUCUGUCCCGCAUGGAUGAACUUGCUGGGUCAUGCACAACACCGCAUUCAACCAUCCUUAUGCCAUCACCCUUUGUCCUGGGAUCAGUGGACAGGGACCUGGUGUCACUCAUUCAAUCGCUGCUGCCUCACAACCCCUUUGCCACCCAGACCUGCCAGAGCCUGGGUGAUGCGGACCACAGGUUGGUUCAGAGUUGCGAUUGCAGAAUGGAAUUCUAUACUGCGGACAACGCAUUUCUGUUCCGGACUGCCAGCCUAGAUGCAAGGGUCUCGAAGUACGUUAUGAGUCCCAGCUCGCCAGCCAUUUUGGCCAAACUAAAACCAGGAACUUGGUUUUGUGAAAUUUCUGGUGGCCGGGUAUACACACAUAUGUCAGGAAAUACACUGACUCCUGCUGUGAUCGGUGUUCCCAGGCCAAGAACCCUUGUGUUCUCCUUCAGUCCAUAUACACCCUCUCUCAGCCCUGGUCUACUGUGUCCCUGGAUUUUAUAGCAGAACUACCCCACUCCCAGGGAUGUACAAUUGGGUUGGCUGCUGUUGAUUACUUGCCCAAGGUGGCCCAUUUGAUCCUCUCUUGUGCAGUUCUCGCUGCCCUGGAAAACACCCACCUCUUUCUUGAACACAUCUUUUGGCUCCACAGACUAUUGACUGGCAUUGUGGCAGACCAAGUCCCACAGUUUGUCUCCCACGUCUGAUGAGAGCUCUACAAUCCCUUGGGGGUAGAACGCCCUGAACUGCCCUGGCUGAUGUAAUAGCUAUUGCAAAUGCUACCUUUGUUGAAAUGUGUAACAGAGAGCAAGUUGCUAGACGCUCAAAAUGGGGGAUCCAUCGGCUUUGAUAAAACUGAAUUCAGACGUCAGUGUGGAAUAGGACUCCGUACCUGCAGAAACACCCUGUCCAACCCCCUCAAAAACCUUAUGACCAACGGGCUGGAAAAAAGGGAGCGGUUAUCCACCGGAAGGUGAAAUGUCAAUAUAGCUGCUAGCUGUGUCCUAAUUAAGCUAAUCGCUAAUCCUUGAUGUUUCAGGUACAAAAUAUAGUCCUUCACAUGCUGAACAGAAGCAAGGAUGGGGAAGACCCCGCCCCCCCCUUCAGCCUCCAUCAGAUGGAAAAUCUUUUCCAUUCAGCCAGGACGGGUCGACCUUGUUGAUGGCUUUCUACUAUUCAGCACUACCUCCUGCAUCUCUCUUGAGUAGGACUCCUCUGCUGAUGUUAGCCAUGAAGCCUCCAGGCCAACAGGUGGAGAGCUUCGAGGCUGGGGUAGAGGAGACAGCUAUGAUUCUGCAAAACUAGGUCUGUGGGAAGUGGGAGCAAUAGCGGGAGACUGAUAGGUCCAAAAGCUGAGAAAAACAGUGUUGAUGGCUAGAGUUGCUAGGCGUCCGGUUUUCAAUUGGAAUGCCCGGCCAAAAAGGGACCCUGGCAGCUCCAGUCAGCACAGCCGACCAGGCCAUUAGAAGUCCAGUUGGUGGUGCUGCGGGUCUAAGGCAGACUAGUCCCUUCCUGUCCUGGCACCACGCUGCGCCCCGGAAGCUGCCAGCAAGUCCGGCUCCUGGGGGGAGGAGGGGUAGGGCUCCAUGUGCUGUCCCCAUGCCAAGUACCCGCUCCACACUCCUAUUGGCUGAGAACAGUUGCAAAUGAGAGCUGGGGGGGUGGUGCCUGCAGGCAAGAGCAGCGCACUGAGCCUCCUGGCACCCCCGCCUAGGAGCCAGACCCGCUGGCCACUUCCGGGGUACAGCUCAGUGCCAGGAUUGGCAGGGAGUGUGCCUUAGCCAUGCAGCACCGCUGACUGGGAGCCGCCUGAGCUAAGCCCUCACCUCAACCCCGAUCCCCACCUCCUUCCCCAGCCCUGAGCUCCCCCAAACCCAGAGCCCCCUCCUGCACCCCAAACUCUUCAUCCCUGGGCCCACACCAGAGCCUGCACCCACAGCUGGGGCCCCCACACCUCCUGCACCUCAACCCCCUGCCCCAGCCCAGAGCCCCUUCCCAAACCCUGAACCCCUCAUGCCUGACCCUAUCCCAGAGUCUGCACCACCAGCCCAGAGCCCAUACCCCCUCCCAGAGCCCACUCCCCUGCCUCAGCCUGCAGCCCUCUCCCACAUUCCGAAUCCCUCGGCCCCAUUCCCCAGCCUGGAGCUCCCUCCUGCACCCCAAGCCCCUCAUCCCCAGCCCCACCCCCAGCCGGAGCCCUCAUCCCCUCCCACACCCUGAACCCCUCAUUUCUGGCCCCACCCCAGAGCCUGGACCCCCAGUUAGAGCCCUUACCCCCUCCCGCACCCCAACCCCCUGUCCCAGCCCAGUGAAAGUGAAUGAAGGUGGGAGAGAACAAGCCACUGAGGGAUGGGGAAUGUAGUCAGUGGGGGCGGGUUCCUGGGGAAGGGGUGGGGCUAGGGUGUUCCAUUUUGUGCGAUUAGAAAGUUGGCAACCCUACUGAUGGGACCAAGCUGGGUUGAUCAGUAUAAGAUUGGCUUUGUCCUGCUUGACCUGGCACAGAACUUUGAAAAGAAGAGGAAUGGGGGAAAAGGAUCCAUCAACAAACCCAGCUGUGUCCUGCUCUGGAACAGAGCUAGUGACAUUUUGGUUGUCCCUUGUUACAAGCAAAUCCACUUGGGGAGUUCCCGAGAGCUGGAAAAUGGACCUUACUAUAUCUGGGCAAAGGGACCCCCGUGGAGAUUGAUAAACAACUUGCUUAGGUGGUUUGCCGGCAUAUUCUGAGCCCUCGCAGAGACAGCCAGUUCUAUUAUUCUAGAUACGAAUCUUUAUUUGGCAAAUCAUUGAACAAAACCUCCAAACUGCUGAGAAAAAUUUCUUUUAUAUAUUCCCCAUCUGUAAAUGGCUUUCAGUUUUUUGCAAUGCACUGUGCAGUCUUGUAACUUCCUUCUGGGGCUUGAUUUUUACUUACACUUAAGCAUUUAGACACACUGCUUUGCUUCUCAUAUCCUGCUACUGCCUUUUUGAUCAAUUCAGUCUUGUCUGCUUCGUCAAGAAAGGUUUUCUCGUGGUUCAUUGGAAAAUGUUGUCAAAUAGCUGAUGUGCGACAAACAACACUUUCACAACAGAAAGCACAAACAGCAUGGUCCUUUUGAAUAAAUCCAAAUGUGUCUGUCCAAGGAAGCUGAAAUAAACGGACAUUUAACUUUGCUUUCUUAGGAGCUGACAUUUUGUCAAAUGUACCCCUCAACUUACAGUGGGAAAAAAAAUGGCGACAGACAGCACGCACGUCAAAUGCAAUGAGCUGUUCCAUGUGACGUGAUAGUGAUGUAAGCAAUAAAUCAGGACUUAAAAAUAUCCCAGUACAGUGGCUCUGGAACAAUUUUUAAGGUGGGGGUGCUGAGCAGUGCCACCUCUUGCCCCUGUCUGCACCUCUCACUGCCCCAGGACACUCUGCAGUACCGAGGAAUGAAGAGAUGUUGAUGCAAGUCCAUCGGGAGCCGGUCUCAACAGGCCCCGUUGGGCUCUGGAGUCAAUGAACUCCCCUAGUUAGAGGUGUGCUGUGGGGAGUGCUUCCUCUUAGAACACCUUCCCAAGUCCUUAGCAGAGUCAACCUCUUUGAAUCCCUCAAUGACCCUGGUAUUGAAUCCAAUUUCCGAUGCCUCUUCUUCGGUACUGGAGAUGCUGAUCUGCCCCUCACUACCAGUAGCACCAGAGGUGUGCUACUGACCGAUGCCGAGGUGCUCAAAGCCCAGAGUAGAGGUCUCAAAUGUAGGCUGCAGCACCUACUCCAAGAGCAGAUAUUUUAAUCUGGCUGCUCUUUUUUUUUUUCCAACUGGGCCUACAGCCCUUGCAAAAUGCCCUUGCAUUUAAGGGAGCUGGGGUGUGGCUCACUAUUCAGGAUGGCCUUGCCACAAGAGUGUCAGGGCUUGAAACCCCGAGAGCGUGGCUUACAUCUGGUACUGGGGCAAGUCCCCAACACUGGGUGCUGGAACCCACACAAACAACAAAAACAAUUUUUUGUUUACUAAGAAACUAACUGACUGACUUAACUACUCAUACGAUACACAGGUGCUAUAAACAGAUAACAGGAAAGAUUUGCAGAAGCAAGGCCAGGAAGCUCCAACAACCAUCAGUGGUGACAGGAAGGAACUGAGGAGGGUCCGGAGUUGCUCAGCCCUUUGUGCCUACACGAUGUGUGUGAGGCAGCAGAGGGCACUCAAGCUGUCCCAACAAGUCCUGCUAAAGGUAAAAACUCUCUGACAACUGUGCACGGGAGCACAGAAAGCCCUACUGUGGAAUGGACAUGUGCGAUCACUUGAAGAAGAAUGUGAUUUCCCCUGCUUGAAUGUGACCCCGAGGUAAAUCAAGAGACAUUGGAAACACAUUUACAUAAAAGGUAAACAAAGCCUUGGCAUGGCACAUCGCCUCUGCAUUUAGAGCGUUUGUUCUGUAGCUUGGACUGAUGGAACCCUGAACAGCCUCAGGGGGAUGCCCUGAAUCACCAGUCCUGAUUGCUGCCAGGAGCCGAGGGCCAUCCCUCCCAGUAGGUGUGAAAUGGGCCCAUGGUGGUGCCGGUUGUGCCUGCUGUUGCCUAGCGCCUCCCGUAAGAGGAGCACACUCCUGGGAAAUGCUCCCCACCCAGCACUUCAGCCCCUGCUCAUGCACUGCCACUCAGCCCACACAAGCUCUUCCCUCUGGGAAGGGCAUUGCACUGAGCUGUCUCCAGCAGCAUCUGACAUCCCUCCAGUGUCUCUGUCUCCAGGAUACAGCAAGCCAGCCUGUGGUGCUCUGUCCCCAUGCUGGAGCAUGUAGGGUCCAGCAUGGCUGAUUCCUGCUGGCUACAGGAUCCCAGGCAGGACUCUCUUCCUCACUGAGUGAGCAUCCUUGGGCAGAGCAAAGACCUCCAGAUCCUCCACUUUAUGAUGGUCAGAAAUGCAGUUCCCCAGAGAGCUGCCAGACAAACACCCUAGAAACAGAGUGAUAUGCCCAUUCUACAGCUCAUCCCCAACCCGCCUUUCAACAUUCACUGCCCUUGCCUGGCCCCUGAACACACCUACCCCAAUAGCACUACCCCAGGCUUCCACCCACCCACCCAAACAUUCCCAGCUCCCCUCCCCACCAUCCCAAAUGUACAUCCCACCUUCUCUACACACUGAGCCCCUCAGCCUCUCCUGGACAUAUACCCCCUCCCAAACCUUACCCACACAGCACACACCCCACUCACACUAUACACACACCACCCACACUACACAACCCCCACCUGCACACUGUCCCUCCUUCCUGCCCAACCACUGGCAUUACUAUUUCUGCUGCCUUUUCAAUCCUGCUGAGAAAAGGAGCUGAAGGGAAGUUCAGGACACUAGCCUGAGGUCCCCAGCCAAAGGCAUGAUGGAGCUCACCGCAGGUCUGCAGAGCAGGAGUCGGAUGUCGGUGACGUGCGGAGGAGGAGCCUGCAGCUUUGCACUCACGUGCAUUACGUUAGAGAAAACCACCUGGAAGCGUAGUUCCACUUGGAUGCCACAUGGAAAAGUCAGUGUCUCCUUCAGCAACUCUGUAAGUGAAAUCAGAGGAAGAGUCAUGGCAGAGGCCAGAAUGCACAGCACACCAAGCGCUCUCUGUCUCAUUGCUGUGCCCUGUCAGCAGAUGGGAAUGAUUCAUAGAUUCUACUGGACCACUGUGAUCACCUAGGCUGACCGCCGUAACACCAGCCAGAGAACUACCCCACAAUAAUUCCUAGAGCAGACCUAACAUCCUCCCUUGACUGAAAAAUUGUCAGCGAUGGAAAAUCCACCAUGACCCUUGGUAAAUUGUUCCAGUGGUUAAUUACUCUCACUGUUAAAAAUGUAUGUAGUAUUUCCGGUUUGAAUUUCUCCAGCUUCAACUUCCAGCCAUUGGCUUGUGUUAGACCUUUCUCUGCUGGAUUGAAGAGACCAUCAUUAACUAUUUGUUCCCCAAGUAGGUACUGUUUUAGGGUAAAUUCGUAGGCCUCAUUGCCACUUGUGAGUUCAACUGUAAGAAGUGAGCAUAAGUUCAUAAGAUGUCACAGUAACCUGGAACAGCCAAUGUUGAUGGGAAAAGGCAUGAAAGGGAGACAAAAAGACUGAGCUAGUCCAAACAAAAAGGCCUUCUGAUAUAACUCAAGGAUUGUGUUAAGAUCAUUUUUGGUUUACCAAGCAUGAUUUUAACAUAGUCCUUGAGUGUGAAACCAGAAAGUAGUUAACCAAAGUUGGUGCUUCAGAAACAAGGCCUAAUUAGUGGACAAAAUAAUGAGGGGAUGAGCUAUUCUGCCCAUCACUCCCUUUUGGGGUCCUUGAAGAAAAGAGACUUUGGGAGAAAAAUUGGCUACUGGGAUGAGAUUCACAAUUAUGACUGCCACCCCCACCAUCUCCUGGGACCCCAGGCCUUCAUCAUCCUGAUCCUGAGAGAUGUCCUGACUGGACAGGGCCAGAGAAAAGGACCCAGAUGACCUCACGACAUCCACCAGCUCCAGCUGAUUCCCAACCAUCACCUGGGAUGAAACAGGAUUGGACCUUAAUAAUAAAGAGAGCUGCAGCCCAUCUCAACUAACUUCUUCUCUGUUCUCCAAAAGGACAGUUAUUACCAGCUUUGAUACCAUCUUAGAGACUGUCAGACACAGGGAUUCUUCCUUCUAAAAACUCUCUCCAGCUAACAAGAAAGGGAACAAGGUAUGCUGUUAAAAUGAAAGCCUUAUUUAAUACUUUAUAUUGUAAAGGCUUUAACUGUGUUCCCCUCUUUUCUUUAUCUUUAAUAAAAGGUUAAAAGGAUUUUUAAUGGCGUGUUUGCCAUGGGACUAAGUAGGCUGAAGUCUCUGUAGACCAAACCCCAAGCCUUAACACUGUUUAAUACUGGACAGUGGCUAGGUUAUGUUAAUGCCUUUACAUUUAAAUGAAUACAACAGUGUUUAUAGACUCUUAUCAAGUCACACAUUAAAUAUCUCUUUUUUAAGUUAAAUAGAUUGAGCUCCUUCCAUCUAUCGAUAUAAGACAUGUUUUCUAACCCUUCUUGAACUGUGAACACCAGAACUGGAUGCAGUAUUCCAGCAGCGGUUACUCCAGCGCCAAAUACAGAGGUAAAAUAACCUCUUUACUCCUACUUGAAAUUCCCCUGUUUAUGCAUCCAAGGAUUGCAUUAGCCCUUUUGGUCACUAUGUUGCCCCAGCUGAUUAUCCCACCACGACCCUCAAAUCUUUUUCAGAAUCCCUACUUCCCAGGAUAGAAUCCCCCAUCCUGUAAGUAUGGCCUACAUUCUUUGUUCCUAGAUAUAUGUGUGACAGAAUAUACCUAGGUGUUCACACCGUACAUGUUAUUGCCAUAAUUUUUGUACAAGAUAUGCCUUAUAAGGUAUCAUCUGAAAACUCAUAAUUUACUGGUCAGUAUGGUCCUGAUAAAAUUUGUGUGGCAACAUUGUACGUAAAGUUAUAACAUUUCCCUGUAUGAUGUUAUUAACACAUGUUCCAAACCCCACAGCCCUGCUCAAACAGAGGUUGGCAAACAGUCUGUCCUAAACAAAGGAAUGUGUGCUCUGCUUAAUUUACCUUAAGCAGUAAACAGAGUCAUCAAGACGAAGGAAAACAAAGGAUGCUCACUGAUGAGAAAAGGGGAACAUCCUUCCACAUAGACUUUCUGCCUUCUAGUGCCCAGCUGGAAAUGUUUUUCAAGAGAGGGACUGAAACUUUAAAAAGAAGGGACAAAUACCCCAAGGCACCCACUCUCUCUCUGCCUGCCCAUCACAUUCACUGCAACUGAAGCAACAAAGGAAGCAGUCAUUGGACUCUGGGGGAUGGGUACUGGUCAGUAAGACUGCUGAAAGAAAGCACAUGUUACAUUUUGAGAGGGUGCCCCUCCUGUCCCAGCCGUUAUUUUCUCCGCCUGCAGUGCUUGAGUUACCCCUGCAGUGUGGGAAGGGGCAGAGUUAUGACAGCUCAGAUCUGAAAAUCUCUUCCACAAUGAUCUCCUGGCCUUGGAAAAAGUUCUGUGACUCAUGGGGUGCCCUGUGCACUGCCCCAGAGUGUGUCAAUUGAAUUAUCCAAUUGUAGCCCUGAAGGAGGUGCUGCCAUCCAGAACAACCAGCUCUGUAUCUAACUUUAGGAUCCUUCAGCUCAGGCUGGAUGUGUCCUGGCUUGUUGGCGAGAGACUCCAUUACAAAUACUCACUGAUAUUAGGCCACAAAAGGGUGCUACAAUCUUAACUGUGGAUCAGCCACAGCUGCCAGCACAGGGCUGUAGGGAGAGAUGAGGGUACACAUCAGGAAAGCCAGGGAGAAAGUGUGAGAACCAGAGAUCAGAGACAGGCCCGGCCUGCACGAGGGAUGUCCAGCGGCAGCAGUACUAGCUGGCAAAUGGAGACAGGGCCGUUGCAGCUUCUGGCAGUCUCAGCACCUCCCCCUGUCACUGACACUUGAUCUGAUGGCCAGAGUUCCAGUCCUGCAGAAGCAAGAGCCUCAAGCCUCAAGCACAGCCACUGGGAAUGCCAAAGAUCUCCAGUCACCAGCAAUCAGCAGAUACUUACGUGGCAUAGCCAUAAACCGUAUUCCCCCAGGGCUCCAGCGGCUGCACCUGCGACAGCGCACACUGUGGGUUGUACCUAGAGAUGAAAGGAUGUAACAGGUGAACUGGGUGAAGGGGGAUUUGCUUUCAUACACGUACAGGAUGGCCCCAUCCCUGGGCACAAACAGAACCCAUAUGUCCAACGCAAUGAUGUCUGCUGCGUGACAGCAAUGCACUCGACAAUUACAUCAAACCCAAUUUCUAAACACUUACCUACAAGGAAAGCCAUGGAGGAUGGUGUAGCAAUGGCCAUGGGGUCUUUUCAACAGCUGAGAGCUCCCCCAGCCCAGCCAGACUCUGGGCAAUUUGUGCUGCUGGGGCUGAGCAAAGGGGAAAAUGUCUGUCUGAAAUCUGUAGGGCUGACUCCUUUGUGGAGCUGAGGGUGCAGCUGGAAAGGAGCCAUCUGGGGCUCUGAUCCUGGGACUGAUUUUCCACCAGCAUAGUGGAGAGCUGCAUCAGGACUCAUAACAGCUCAUACACUGGUUCAUACUGCCCCCACGGGACUACUACACUGGAGAGGAUUGCUGGAGCACACACCUCUUCCCUUCCCCAGGGAGCUGGCUAGGCCAGCCAGCCCUCUGCAAUGUCAGAGGAAUCCCCCACUGCCCUGUUAGGGCAGCUUUAGUGAAGAGUGGCCUUGCUGUGGCCAAGGAGUUGGCCCAUAAUUUCCAAGAUCAGGUAAAGGGUGUCAGGGCUGAUUUGGUGUGAAAGGCUUGACUUCCACCACAAAAUACCUGAGAGAUCCUUUGUGCAUGGCCUUAGUCACUGGGUCUGCAUAGGAGGUUGCUAUCUGCAGCCUACCGGGGAAGAAUCAGCUUUGCACAAUAUCUCUGGGCACUGAAGAUAUCUGGGCAUAGGGAGGGCCAGAGUCUCUCUCAUUUACACCAGGUUUACACCAGUGCAGCGGAGUCACUCCCAGUUUGCACAUGUGGAACUGAGGUCAAAGCCAGGCCCAGAGUAUCGUCCGCAGCAGUGUUAUCUGCUCCGUUGUGGUCUGGCCUGCUGAGGAGGAAGUACAGGAUGUCCCUGUUUCACAGAGUCAGCAGCAGAUAGCAGGCUGUUUGUUUAUAACUUGUGACCAGGAACCAGGGGGCCACUGGAUGGCAAUGUUUGUCUGGCUUGCACCUACCUUUCAAACACACCCAGAAGUCACAAUGACAGGCAUGAGGUACGUUUCUAAAUAAAAUCAAUGAAUGAAUAGAUUUAUCUGCCCUCAGCUGCUCCAGACAAACACAUGAGCAGCUAGAGGAUUCCAGACACGAGGAACAACAAGACGUCAUAUCCCAGAAUAGGCUAGAGCCCUCACUGGCCCCACACAGCGCGCAAUGUGCAUCUAAUCCGUGGGCUACGCUCAGCUGCUUUGCUGCAGACACACACACACAGCGACAGAACAGCCAGCCUAGCACAAGGAGUGGAAAAAUCGGUUCGGGUUUGUUUGCCUUGACUGAGGACAAGGCUCAGCUGGAACAUGUUUUCAGAGCAUGAUGGAGCAGAGACAUCCUUGGCAAUGGAAAUGAUGAGCAGGGUUAGCGCCCAGACACUGGGCCUGAUUCUCAUCUCAUUUACAUCACUGUAGCUCACUGGCUUCAAUUAUUUACGUGCCAUGUAGGUGGGAGGAAAUUUAUGUCCAUUUGUCUUAGGCGACAUGCCCUAGAAAUGCCAACAAGACAAUAAGCUUGAUUGUGUUCUCACGUGGGGGUAAACCAGGAGCAAUUCCACUGAAUUCAAUGACGUGAUACCUGUGUAAAGCAGGUGCAAGUACAACUGGAAUCUGGGACAAGGUAGCCCAAUAAUGACAGCCCCAGACACAGAUCACUUUGUCCUGGUCCUCAUAGUCCCAAGAUCCCAAAGUGCUCAGACAUCUCAGUGAUGCGUACAGGCUAAAAACCUAAAUAGAACAGAAAAUGGGAACAGCAUCUACCAAAUGGCUAGUUUUAAUGCACUAUGUAUGGCGCUGCUACACAUAGGAGGAGGGCUUCAGCUUCAAAAACGUUGCAGAAAUCCAAUGUGUGAGCAAGUAAGGGAGGCAGGGUGGGGGCCCACUCCUUAGUUUCUGUCCUGGGCUCCAGCGAGUCUAAUGCUGGCCCUGCUAGGGAGCAUGCUCAGUGCAGAUGGAAUGAUCACAGAUUUGAGCAACAAGCCUCUAACAAGCUCUACUUCAAAUGUGCAAGUGGUGAUUUUCUGCAGCUUACAACGUGGCCAUAUCUGGACAGAUUUCCACGGAGACAACAAAAGACUCUUCUUUAACCCCAGGACCACUCCCUUGCCAAAUUUCAUGUUUCUGCUCCAAAACAUGAAGGCACUAAAGCUCUUCACAGGUAAUCAAGGGCCCCUACAAGUACGCAUACCAAUGGGACACUAAUUUUUACAUUUGCUGUAUCAGGUCUCAUGACUGGGGAAAUUCACAGGUAUUAUCAGUGUGGGCACCGGUAAUUCUGUUUUACCCUGUUCUGUU